AAGCGGUUCAUAAGGUUUCCAUACUUAAUUCCUGCCAGAACCGACCUCUAGCAACUAUAUAAGGAGGAGGGGAGCCCCUCUCAACCCACACUAAGAUACAAGUGAAGAAGAAGAGAUGUAGAGGGACUUCACCUUGAGCCUACUUAUAGGAUUAAUUAGGAUAGGGAGUGGGGAAGGAGAACUAUGGAGGAGUGCCGGGUUUGUCAGCAACCUUCUUUGGCUGGUACCUCGUUGGAUACGAAUCAUUUGAGGAUGUUCUACGAGAGAGAUUACCAAGACAUGGAGCAUUUAUUGAUGGAAAAUGGAUGGAUGAUGGUGCUCAAUUCCCAACGUAGGAAUAUCGCAAAUGGAUGGGACGUGUACGUUCUUAUGAUCGAGAAAGCAUGAAAAGUAUCUCACUAGGGUCACACAAUUUGACAAAACUCAAUAGAACAUUAAGCAGCAUAUGUUUAAGAUUUUUCAUGGACUGUAACAAAUGGCUCUGGUAUGACUUUGCUUAUCACUAGGGAACUUGCCUUUUUA